GGAUCUCACCCAUGGCCGGGUAGUUUGACAUGCCUAAUACAUGCAAGUCGAGCGAACAGAGAAGGAGCUUGCUCCUUUGACGUAGCGGCGGACGGGUGAGUAACACGUGGGCAACCUACCUUAUAGUUUGGGAUAACUCCGGGAAACCGGGGCUAAUACCGAAUAAGUCUAUUUUACUUCAUGGUGAAAUACUGAAAGACGGUUUCGGCUAGUCGCUAUAAGAUAGGGCCCGCGGCGCAUNUAGCUAGUAUGGUAGAGGUAACGGCUCACCAAGGCGACGAUAGCGUAGCCGACCUAGAGAGGGUAGAUCGGCCACACUGGGACUAGAGACACGGCCCAGACUCCUACGGGAGGCAGCAGUAGGGAAUCUUCCACAAUGGGCGAAAGCCUGAUGGAGCAACGCCGCGUGAGUGAAGAAGGUUUUCGGAUCGUAAAACUCUGUUGUAAGGGAAGAACAAGUACAGUAGUAAACUGGGCUAGUACCCUUGACGGUACCUUAU
rnacentral:rRNA from 1 species